rnacentral:rRNA from 1 species
GACGAACGCUGGCGGCGUGCUUAACACAUGCAAGUCGAACGGAAAGGCCCUGCUUUUGUGGGGUGCUCGAGUGGCGAACGGGUGAGUAACACGUGAGUAACCUGCCCUUGACUUUGGGAUAACUUCAGGAAACUGGGGCUAAUACCGGAUAGGAGCUCCUGCUGCAUGGUGGGGGUUGGAAAGUUUCGGCGGUUGGGGAUGGACUCGCGGCUUAUCAGCUUGUUGGUGGGGUAGUGGCUUACCAAGGCUUUGACGGGUAGCCGGCCUGAGAGGGUGACCGGCCACAGUGGGACUGAGAUGCGGCCCAGACUCCUACGGGAGGCAGAAGUGGGGAAUAUUGCACAAUGGGCGGAAGCCUGAUGCAGCAACGCCGCGUGCGGGAUGACGGCCUUCGGGUUGUAAACCGCUUUCGCCUGUGACGAAGCGUGAGUGACGGUAAUGGGUAAAGAAGCACCGGCUAACUACGUG